GGGGGUGACUGGUUUCGACUUCGUACGUCGAGCCAGGGGAAGCGGGCUGAGGAAGCCGACGUCGUCUCAUUAAUCGGUCGUCGGAAACCAAAAAGCGCCAACUCUAAGCGCGCUGACUUCGCUCUCGCCGCCUGAGGCGACAGCAAGUCUGUCGGUCCGGAAGUGCCUUCGGUCCGGUAGCCGGCAUCAGCUAGAGGGCUCGCUGUCCGAGUUCGGCCGCGGAACUCGGACGGGACUUUUACAGCGGCUGGGCCUGUCACAUCGUCUCGCUCGCGUGAUCGAUGGGGCCAAGUAGAGGCAUAGCGAGCUGCGCCCGGAGAAGCCCUGGCAACACAGCGAAGGACCCGGGUUCAAUUCCCGGCACCUCCAC
rnacentral:tmRNA from 1 species